rnacentral:rRNA from 1 species
GGAGGAAAGUAGGGGAUCGCAAGACCUCAUGCUCGUGGAGCGGCCGAUAUCUGGUUAGCUAGUUGGUAGGGUAAAAGCCUACCAAGGCAUCGAUCAGUAGCUGGUCUGAGAGGACGACCAGCCACACUGGAACUGAGACACGGUCCAGACUCCUACGGGAGGCAGCAGUGGGGAAUUUUGGACAAUGGGCGAAAGCCUGAUCCAGCAAUGCCGCGUGAGUGAAGAAGGCCUUCGGGUUGUAAAGCUCUUUUGUCAGGGAAGAAACGGUGAGGGCUAAUAUCCCUUGCUAAUGACGGUACCUGAAGAAUAAGCACCGGCUAACUACGUGCCAGCAGCCGCGGUAAUACGUAGGGUGCAAGCGUUAAUCGGAAUUACUGGGCGUAAAGCGUGCGCAGGCGGUUUUGUAAGUCUGAUGUGAAAUCCCCGGGCUCAACCUGGGAAUUGCGUUUGAAACUACAAAGCUAG